UACGUAGGGUGCGAGCGUUGUCCGGAAUUAUUGGGCGUAAAGGGCUCGUAGGCGGUCCGUCACGUCGGGAGUGAAAACUCGGGGCUCAACCCCGAGCCUGCUUCCGAUACGGGCAGACUAGAGGUAUGCAGGGGAGAAUGGAAUUCCUGGUGUAGCGGUGAAAUGCGCAGAUAUCAGGAGGAACACCGGUGGCGAAGGCGGUUCUCUGGGCAUUACCUGACGCUGAGGAGCGAAAGUGUGGGGAGCGAACAGG
rnacentral:rRNA from 1 species